rnacentral:rRNA from 1 species
UGGGUAACCUGCCCUUCACUCUGGGAUAACUCCGGGAAACCGGGGCUAAUACUGGAUAUGACUCGAACAGGCAUCUGUUUCGGGUGGAAAGAUUUUAUUGGUGGAGGAUGGACUCGCGGCCUAUCAGCUUGUUGGUGAGGUAAUGGCUCACCAAGGCGACGACGGGUAGCCGGCCUGAGAGGGCGAUCGGCCACACGUGGGACUGAGACACGGCCCAGACUCCUACGGGGAGCA